GUAUAUCGUCGUUCCAUAGGUGCCGCCUUCACUCGAAGUCGGCUUAAAAGGGAAGCCCGGUGAGAUUCCGGCACGGUCCCGCCACUGUAUAUGGGAGCAGCCUGCAAGAUGUCCACUAUCCUCGGAUGGGAAGGCGCAGGUUUGCGUUGAUCAUAAGUCAGGAGACCUGCCUAUGGAGGCAGCACAAC
rnacentral:ncRNA from 1 species